UGUGUUCCUCUUCGCCAGACACUCUAUAUGCACGUGCACGGUUUUUCGUAUGCUCUGGCGUUAAAAGCUUUUUUUUUUCUGUGCCCACGAACGUUCCGACAAUGUCGUAAAAAGUGAGGAAAGGGUAGAAGGCGUGCUCGUGGCUGUGUGUGGUGGUAAAUGGAAGAGAAAAAGAAGGGCGAACUUCUGUUUCCCAGCCAACGAGAGAUGUGCCAUAUGGAAAAAUUAAGCUCAGUGGAGACUUGUGUCACUACUCACAUGGGAGCAGAUGUACAAUGGCUACCGCCUCUUCUUGGGCCACUUCACAGAAAGGGACUACGCCGACCUGACCUAAACAGUACUGUCGUGGUCAGCUGUACCGACUGUUCGAAUGGAAGUGUAGUCCCUGAACGAGGAAGAUGUCAUGGAGGCGCCGCAUGUUCGACACUGAGCCACCUGUCCACAUGGUACGCGACAUUCAACAGCAAGGUCCGACGUCAAGGUAUGAUACCUCUUGACAUCUCAAGCCAGAUGGGCGCUCUUGUACUUCGUCCGCGAAAGUCGAUCCCGCGCCACCAGCACUGACUCUGGAUGGAUCCAGCUACCGCGCCUGGCAACAAGGUAUUGCUACCUCCUGCACCACAGGCGGCGGAUAGAAAAGCCAUCCAGACAUCGGCGGCUUCGUGCAUGGCACCGCAUCUAAGAUGAGGAAUUCACACAAGCUGCUUUUGCAGGCAGGAACCGGGAGCCGAACAUGUCCUUUUGAAUGGAAUUUCGGAGAGAAAGUCGCCUGUGAAUUCCUGCGACAGCACUCAUCGAGGCGCAGAACGCUAGAUACCAUCCGACGGCUUUGGCUGUUGUCAUGGAAACCUCGAAACAUAUUUCUGGCUGCCUUCUACUUUUCAUGAUUAUGUCUUUGCGUGAGACUCGUUCAUCUGUGGUUUUCCGUAUUUGGUGCUUUUCAAGUUUGGUUUCUCUUGUCGACGUGCGCACUACAGUGUAACUUUGCGCCCUCGUUCCCAGUUCUUAAUUAUUUUUAUUGCACCCUGCCUCUCCUCUUUCGCUUUUCUGGCAUAGUUCUUCUAUUGUCAUGGUUUUUAAGCUUCUAGCUCGAAUCCCGCAAACUGGGACAGACAAUGGCUGCCCUAGGUUUACGCGGAUUGUGACAGACGAAACGCAAAACCAUAUUUGCCGGUGCAGUGAAGGAACGUCGUACAGGUGUAACUGCUACUUCAAAAACACGUAGCCAAAAAAAAUGAAAUAAAGGACAUGAACGAUGCCAACAGAGACGUUCCGGAAUUUGAACGUGCUCUAAUUACUUACUGCGCAGCGCCGGCACACUUCUUUAUUACAUUUCGAAUGCGUCGGUGUUGUUUAGAACCUCUGCGGCAACUCCUCUAUUUCGGAA